UACGUAGGGCGCAAGCGUUGUCCGGAAUUAUUGGGCGUAAAGAGCUCGUAGGUGGUUUGUCGCGUCUGUCGUGAAAGCCCGGGGCUUAACUCCGGGUCUGCAUUCGAUACGGGCAGGCUAGAGUUCGGUAGGGGAGAUCGGAAUUCCUGGUGUAGCGGUGAAAUGCGCAGAUAUCAGGAGGAACACCGGUGGCGAAGGCGGAUCUCUGGGCCGAUACUGACGCUGAGGAGCGAAAGCGUGGGGAGCGAACAGG
rnacentral:rRNA from 1 species